UGAAAUCAAGAUGAACAGACGGCACAUGUACAUCCAGUGCAGAGCUCAUCUCAGAGAGACUCCAAACCACCUGAGGCCUCUUCUGCAGUUUGUACACUGCCACCUGCUGGCUGGCUUCUCAAACCACAGCGAGCUGACUUUCUUCCUGCAACAGCCACGAACACACAAGGGAAGUACUCAGGCCAAGAUCAUAUUAGAUCUGCAUGGAAUCAACAGAUGAACAUCAUGCCAUCUUUUAUCAUCACAGAAGAUCACUGUCAAAAUCAACUUCUGAUUGCAGUGAAGGACACAGCUGUUUCCAUGUGGUGAAGCCCUAUAAAGUUGGACACUACAUCAUCCACCCUGAGUUUGUGUCAGAAGCAAUGCACUAUUAAAAACCAGUGUUUAGGCAAUUGUUUUAUUUAUUUAUUUUUAGGCAGUUGUCUAAUGUUAUUUAAAAUGUAUUAAGGUAUGUUGUGUGGCGUG